rnacentral:RNase_P_RNA from 1 species
CGGGGCCUUAAUGUAAGAGCCCACCGCGGUUCUGGUGACAGAACCGGCACGGCAAACCCCAUCUGGAGCAAGUCCAAGUAAGGCGGCGUUGAGGCUGCUCGCUUAGCCGCCGGGUAGGAUGCUUGAGGAUGCCGGUGACGGCAUUCCUAGAUUGAUGACCGUGGCUUUCCCGCUUGCGGGGAAGUACAGAACCCGGCUUAUUGAAGACUUCGGCCC